rnacentral:rRNA from 1 species
AGCUCCAAUAGCGUAUAUUAAAGUUGUUGCGGUUAAAAAGCUCGUAGUUGGAUUUCUGUCGGGGGCGGCCGGUCCGCACUAUGUGCGUGUAUCUGGUGUGCUCUUGGCAUCCUCUUGGGGAACGUUGCUGAGCUUUGUUGCACAGGGCGGGAUUCAAGACUUUUACUUGAGGAAAUUAGAGUGUUCACGGCAAGCUAUCGCUUUGAAUACAUUAGCAUGGAAUAAUGAUAUAGGGCGUGAGUUCUAUUUUGUUGGUUUCUAGGAUUUGCGCAAUGAUUAAUAGGGAUAAUUGGGGGCAUUCGUAUUAACGCGUCAGAGGUGGAAUUCUUGGAUUGCGUUACGACGAACUACUGCGAAAGCAUUUGCCAAGGAUGUUUUCA